CUGCUGCCUCCCGUAGGAGUUUGGACCGUGUCUCAGUUCCAAUGUGGGGGGCCUUCCUCUCAGAACCCCUACGCAUCGUCGCCACGGUGGGCCGUCACCCCGCCGUCUAGCUAAUGCGCCGCAUGCCCAUCCGCCACCGGAUCGCUCCUUUGGCCACCGGAGGAUGCCCUCCGGUGGCGUCACGGGGUAUUAGGCCGCGUUUCCGCGGGUUAUCCCCCUGUGGCGGCCAGGUUGCAUACGUGUUACUCACCCGUGCGCCGGUCGCCGGCGGG
rnacentral:rRNA from 1 species